rnacentral:lncRNA from 1 species
CACUGUGAGGUCAUUCGGCAUCAGGCGUAAUGAGAAGAUUGCGUGCUAUGUGACAGUUAGGGGAGAGAAGGCGAUGCAGCUGCUGGAGAGUGGCUUGAAGGUCAAGGAGUAUGAGCUGCUGAGGAGGAACUUCAGUGAGACUGGCUGCUUUGGGUUUGGUAUCCAGGAGCACAUUGAUCUUGGCAUCAAGUAAGAUUAUAUAAUAUUUCUGCUCUCUAGUAAUUUGAAUGUGGUGUGCUGUCUCAGUGAAUGGAUGCUUUUUCAUGGUUUUGUUGCUUGUAGUAAGUAGAGGAAUGAAAUGUAAUUUUAGAUUCAUGUGUGCAGCAUGUGGGUCGCUACUCACUAUGACAACUUAACACGGUUUGAGAAUCCGCUGUAGCCUGAUCUAUUUGCUGAUGUACUAAUGUGACUGGAUCGCACACCAUGGAAUUUCCUUUUAUGCUAAGAAUAUGAUGUUUUGUUAUCUAAUACAGUAUCCAAGAUAUUUUUGCAAGUCAUGUUGAAUUGAUGACAUCCAAAUUUUUUCUAUGUAGGAGUAGCCAUUAAUGCAAAACACUAUUUCUUAUAUUCUGUUCACUUGAGUUCAAUUGUAUGCUUUUUCAGAAACUGCCACACCCGUGUAUAAUAUUGCAUUAAGUUUUAGUCUAUUGUGAUCUUGUACCAGGAUUGUCCUGAGCAAGUCAAAAUGCCAUUCUUUGGGUGCAUCUGUGAUUUUUAUCUCUGAUUUAUUGCAUGGUUAGCAUGCUUGUCCAGGCCUAUGGUCAAAUUUGUAGUACUGUGGUGCAACAGACAUAUUUACUGUGUUGUUAUUAUUGACAAGUUAUUUGUAUCCUGGACCUGGAGUACCACCUUGAUUUAAACUGUGCAUAUAAUUCCAUCCCCACUUGAUUUCAGUUUGCAUAACGCUAUACUGUUGUUGCCUUUACUGUCUGCAUAUGUGGGCAUUGUGUGUUUGUGGCUAGUUUCUCCUCCCUUAGAGAUUUAAAAUUUCAGAGUACUUAUUGUGCAUUUGCUGGGGAUAGUUCCUGUCUGCCUAGUUCCUGCUUAGUGAAGUGCUGCAUUUUGUUGAUGAUUAAUAGCCGUUCUCUUUAUUGCAUUAUCUCAGGUAUGACCCAUCUACUGGUAUCUACGGCAUGGACUUCUACGUCGUCCUUGAGCGGGCUGGGUACCGCGUUGCCCGCCGCCGCAGGUGCAAGUCUCGUGUUGGUAUCCAGCACAGGGUCACCAAGGAGGACGCCAUGAAGUGGUUCCAGGUCAAGUACGAGGGUGUGAUCCUCAACAAGGCCCAGGCCAACUCCUAAGCAUCACAAGAAGAGCUUAGCUCCUCGUCAAAUCUCGAGUUCAUUAAGUCUAUCUGGUGGUUGGGUUUGU